rnacentral:rRNA from 1 species
AGGUAAGCUACUAAGAGCGAAUGGUGGAUGCCUUGACUGGUAAAGGCGAUGAAGGACGUACUAGACUGCGAUAAGCUACGGGGAGCUGUCAAGAAGCUUUGAUCCGUAGAUUUCCGAAUGGGGCAACCCAAUGUAUAGAGAUAUACAUUACCUAUAUAGGAGCGAACGAGGGGAAUUGAAACAUCUUAGUACCCUCAGGAAAAGAAAUCAAUAGAGAUUGCGUCAGUAGCGGCGAGCGAAAGCGCAAGAGGGCAAACCCAGUGCUUGCACUGGGGGUUGUAGGACUGCAAUGUGCAAGAGGUAAGUUUAGCAGAACAUUCUGGAAAGUAUAGCCAUAGAGGGUGAUAGUCCCGUAUGCGAAAAACAAACCUUAGCUAGCAGUAUCCUGAGUAGGGCGGGACACGAGGAAUCCUGUCUGAAUCCGGGUCGACCACGAUCCAACCCUAAAUACUAAUACCAGAUCGAUAGUGCACAAGUACCGUGAGGGAAAGGUGAAAAGAACUGAGGUGAUCAGAGUGAAAUAGAACCUGAAACCAUUUGCUUACAAUCAUUCAGAGCCCUAUGUAGCAAUACAGGGUGAUGGACUGCCUUUUGCAUAAUGAGCCUGCGAGUUGUGGUGUCUGGCAAGGUUAAGCAAACGCGAAGCCGUAGCGAAAGCGAGUCUGAAUAGGGCGCUUAGUCAGAUGCUGCAGACCCGAAACGAAGUGAUCUAUCCAUGAGCAAGUUGAAGCUAGUGUAAGAACUAGUGGAGGACUGAACCCAUAGGCGUUGAAAAGCCCCGGGAUGACUUGUGGAUAGGGGUGAAAGGCCAAUCAAACUUCGUGAUAGCUGGUUCUCUCCGAAAUAUAUUUAGGUAUAGCGUUGUGUCGUAAUAUAAGGGGGUAGAGCACUGAAUGGGCUAGGGCAUACACCAAUGUACCAAACCCUAUCAAACUCCGAAUACCUUAUAUGUAAUCACAGCAGUCAGGCGGCGAGUGAUAAAAUCCGUCGUCAAGAGGGAAACAACCCAGACUACCAGCUAAGGUCCCUAAAUCUUACUUAAGUGGAAAACGAUGUGAAGUUACUUAAACAACCAGGAGGUUGGCUUAGAAGCAGCCAUCCUUUAAAGAAAGCGUAAUAGCUCACUGGUCUAGUGAUUUUGCGCGGAAAAUAUAACGGGGCUAAAGU